AGUCACUGACAUUAGACUACCCCUGUAGUCCCAGCCGUAAACUAUGCGCGUUAGGUGUAUCGGUGACCACGAGUUACCGAGGUGCCGAAGGGAACCGUGAAACGUGCCGCCUGGGAAGUACGGUCGCAAAGCUGAAACUUAAAGGAAUUGGCGGGGGAGCACCACAACAGGUGGAGCCUGCGGUUUAAUUGGACUCAACGCCGGGAAGCUCACCGGAUAGGACAGCAGAAUGAUUGCCGGGCUGAAGACCCUGCAUGACUAGCUG
rnacentral:rRNA from 1 species